rnacentral:rRNA from 1 species
AAGUCCCGUAACGAGCGCAACCCUUGUCCUUAGUUGCUACGCAAGGGCACUCUAAGGAGACUGCCGGUGACAAACCGGAGGAAGGUGGGGAUGACGUCAAGUCCUCAUGGCCCUUAUGGGUAGGGCUUCACACGUAAUACAAUGGCGCGUACAGAGGGUUGCCAAGCCGCGAGGUGGAGCCAAUCCCACAAAGCGCGUCGUAGUCCGGAUUGGAGUCUGCAACUCGACUCCAUGAAGUCGGAAUCGCUAGUAAUCGCGGAUCAGCAUGUCGCGGUGAAUACGUUCCCGGGUCUUGUACACACCGCCCGU